rnacentral:rRNA from 1 species
UACGUAGGGCGCAAGCGUUAUCCGGAAUUAUUGGGCGUAAGAGCUCGUAGGCGGUUUGUCGCGUCUGCCGUGAAAGUCCGGGCUCAACUCCGGAUCUGCGGUGGGUACGGGCAGACUAGAGUGUGGUAGGGGAGACUGGAAUUCCUGGUGUAGCGGUGAAAUGCGCAGAUAUCAGAGGAACACCGAUGGCGAAGGCAGGUCUCCUGGGCCACUGCUGACGCGAGAAGCGAAAGCAUGGGGAGCGAACAGG